rnacentral:rRNA from 1 species
AGAGUUUGAUCAUGGCUCAGAUUGAACGCUGGCGGCAGGCCUAACACAUGCAAGUCGAACGGUAACAGGAAGCAGCUUGCUGCUUUGCUGACGAGUGGCGGACGGGUGAGUAAUGUCUGGGAAACUGCCUGAUGGAGGGGGAUAACUACUGGAAACGGUGGCUAAUACCGCAUAACGUCGCAAGACCAAAGAGGGGGACCUUCGGGCCUCUUGCCAUCAGAUGUGCCCAGAUGGGAUUAGCUUGUUGGUGAGGUAACGGCUCACCAAGGCGACGAUCCCUAGCUGGUCUGAGAGGAUGACCAGCCACACUGGGAACUGAGACACGGUCCAGACUCCUACGGGAGGCAGCAGUGGGGAAUAUUGCACAAUGGGCGCAAGCCUGAUGCAGCCAUGCCGCGUGUAUGAAGAAGGCCUUCGGGUUGUAAAGUACUUUCAGCGGGGAGGAAGGUGUUGUGGUUAAUAACCGCAGCAAUUGACGUUACCCGCAGAAGAAGCACCGGCUAACUCCGUGCCAGCAGCCGCGGUAAUACGGAGGGUGCAAGCGUUAAUCGGAAUUACUGGGCGUAAAGCGCACGCAGGCGGUCUGUCAAGUCGGAUGUGAAAUCCCCGGGCUCAACCUGGGAACUGCAUUCGAAACUGGCAGGCUUGAGUCUUGUAGAGGGGGGUAGAAUUCCAGGUGUAGCGGUGAAAUGCGUAGAGAUCUGGAGGAAUACCGGUGGCGAAGGCGGCCCCCUGGACAAAGACUGACGCUCAGGUGCGAAAGCGUGGGGAGCAAACAGGAUUAGAUACCCUGGUAGUCCACGCCGUAAACGAUGUCUACUUGGAGGUUGUGCCCUUGAGGCGUGGCUUCCGGAGCUAACGCGUUAAGUAGACCGCCUGGGGAGUACGGCCGCAAGGUUAAAACUCAAAUGAAUUGACGGGGGCCCGCACAAGCGGUGGAGCAUGUGGUUUAAUUCGAUGCAACGCGAAGAACCUUACCUGGUCUUGACAUCCACGGAAGUUUUCAGAGAUGAGAAUGUGCCUUCGGGAACCGUGAGACAGGUGCUGCAUGGCUGUCGUCAGCUCGUGUUGUGAAAUGUUGGGUUAAGUCCCGCAACGAGCGCAACCCUUAUCCUUUGUUGCCAGCGAUUAGGUCGGGAACUCAAAGGAGACUGCCAGUGAUAAACUGGAGGAAGGUGGGGAUGACGUCAAGUCAUCAUGGCCCUUACGACCAGGGCUACACACGUGCUACAAUGGCGCAUACAAAGAGAAGCGACCUCGCGAGAGCAAGCGGACCUCAUAAAGUGCGUCGUAGUCCGGAUUGGAGUCUGCAACUCGACUCCAUGAAGUCGGAAUCGCUAGUAAUCGUGGAUCAGAAUGCCACGGUGAAUACGUUCCCGGGCCUUGUACACACCGCCCGUCACACCAUGGGAGUGGGUUGCAAAAGAAGUAGGUAGCUUAACCUUCGGGAGGGCGCUUACCACUUUGUGAUUCAUGACUGGGGUGAAGUCGUAACAAGGUAACCGUAGGGGAACCUGCGGUUGGAUCACCU